rnacentral:rRNA from 1 species
AGAGUUUGAUCAUGGCUCAGAGCGAACGUUGGCGGCGCGCCUAACACAUGCAAGUCGAGCGUGAAAGUCCCUUCGGGGAUGAGUAAAGCGGCGCACGGGUGAGUAACACGUGGGUAAUCUACCCUAGAGUCUGGAAUAACCUGUCGAAAGACGGGCUAAUACCGGAUAGAGCGAUGGCAGUCGUAAGGACUGUUUCGGGAAAGGGAGGUCGCAAGAUCCCUUGCUCUAGGUUGAGCCUGCGGCCCAUUAGCUAGUUGGUGAGGUAAAAGCUUACCAAGGCAUUGAUGGGUAGCUGGUCUUAGAGGACGACCAGCCACACUGGAACUGAAACACGGUCCAGACUCCUACGGGAGGCAGCAGUGGGGAAUAUUGCGCAAUGGGCGGAAGCCUGACGCAGCGACGCCGCGUGAGUGAAGAAGGCCUUCGGGUUGUAAAGCUCUGUCGGAGGGGACGAAAAGCUUGGUGGUUAACAGCCAUUAGGUCUGACGGUACCCUCAAAGAAG